CAGGAGUAAUCACUUAUAAAUGUACGGAAUGAGGGUUUUCUAAGGUGUUUUAUAAAACAGAUAUCUACAGAGUUUGAAAGCAAGGCCUCUUGCUUCUAAGGCAGAAUUUAGAAGCCACCAGGUUUGCAGCAUCAUUCUUUUCUCUCUCAGUAAUUAUUCCCUUAUUUGAUGCAGAGUGUAAUUAGCUCUGCUCCCACCAGUGUCAGCAGGUUCUAGCCUUCACUUGUUGAGUUUCCUCCACCUUAGGAAUCUGCAGUAGGUGUGUGGAAGCAAGGUGCAGUAAUGCUCAGCACCUGAGGUUAAACAUAGGCCUAAUGGGCCUUCUUCAGUUGUGGGUUUCCUGGCAAAUGAAGGAGGAGAUCUGGACUUGCAUGCAGGAAUGCGCAGUGUGGUAAACAGAAUGCAAAAGGCUGUUUUGAUGCAUUAUAUUCCUUACUUAUUGAAAAAAAUAAACAAAAAACUAUUCCGCCACCAAGUUGCUUGUGUUAGGAGGUUUUGUCACUGGCUGCCAUGAAGAAGGGCUCAUGAGCACUAUUUUCUCUACCAUGUGCAAAUCAGGCUCUUUCCUCUAUUUUAUGGAAAUAAUCAAGUGAGACACAUCUUAGAGACGUUUGCGAGCUGAUAUUCCUGGCUUCUCUGAUGUCUGUCAAGGAAGGGAUUGCUUAUGUCUUUUAUCUUGGACUUGGAGGUGUUAUUUGGAUUUAUGUGUGUGAAGGAGGGAAAACGGUGGUACAGGGAAAAGGAAUUUUCUGCAGAGUACCAGUGCUGACAAAUGAGUGUCACCUGAAUUGCACAUCGCCUGUGUUGUCUCUUGUCCUCUGUUCUCAGCGUACACUGAGAAUGUCCAGGAAAAUGAAUUGCAUUUUGCCUUUAUUAACUACUUUACUAUCCUCUGAAAGCGGCCUGAUUGGGCCCUUCUUGCCCAGGUCGUGACAAGUGGAGGAGUUAAUGGAGCUAGCACUUCUUUUUUCUAAAUUGGAAGAAAUCAAGAGGAAGGAAUCAAGAGGAGAGGGUGGAAGUUCCUGCUCUGCAGAUACUGCUUGUUUUCCUGCGCUGGUGCCCACAGACACUAAAACCAACAUCGGAGAGAGAAAUUAAUCUAAUGUUGCACAUCCACACUUGUUCUAGAGCCAGUGGUGAAUUUAGCACAAUCAUUUACAGCUUUUGUGUGUAUCCUCAGGUCUCAACAAUAAAGUUCCAUCAUAGUAAAUGGAGGAUUGUGGAAACAAUUUCCAGAUUAAGUCUUACGUUUGAUCAGUUGCAUUGCUAAUGAUAUUAACUUCUUUUUUAAAAAAUAUAAUGUAAAUGCAUAAAAUAAAAUGUAAAUAUAUUUUAUUGGGAAAUAAUCGUGUAUAAACAAAUCUGUUCAUCAAGUAGUUUCAGCCACAUAAUAUGCUAGAACAUCACGUUGACAAAGA